UGGGGUAUUAGCGCAGUUGGGAGCGCGCCACACUGGCAGUGUGGAGGCCACGGGUUCAAGUCCCGUAUACUCCAU
rnacentral:tRNA from 1 species